UGUGCAAAAUGGGUUAGAAAUUUCGACGUCCAAAUUGGACCUUUUUGAGACCUCGCUCUGAUGUUUAGAAUUUGGACGUCAUCUGAAAACCAAUCCAGAUGUUGGCAUACCGUGCAAAAUGGAUCCAAGAUUUAGACGUCAUUAUUGGACCUCUAUUAGACGUUGAAAUGUCAUCCACAUUUGUACCUCAUUUCGAAAAUAUACGUUAAAUAGAUGUCAUUUCGACGUUGCAUUAGGCAGCGGGAGCUUUACUGGUUGCAAAUCUGGGUUACAGCUUCAAAAUGCCACAAGUGUAACAAAGACUGGUCUGAAACUGCUAAGGUAUAUAUAGCUGUCCACGUUUCCAAACAUUCUUCUGGCAUCUUGUUGACCUGAAGGAGAGUCCAUUUUUAAGAACAAAGGACAACAUAUUUUAAGGCAUUAGUUGAAAAUGUAGAGAGCUCAUAUAGGGAAAUACCACAGCACGACAUAUUCUGGGGGACUGACUUUUGUUAAAAAUGUGUACAAGGUCCUUGUUGAGGAUGGUCGUCAGGGGCCAGCGGCUCCAGGAAUGUAACACCACAGUAUUCAAGGUAUUUGAGUGACACCGCUCCACCACCCUAAAGGAUGACAUGACUGGCUAAAGAGAAGACUCCGAACAAAAACCAUCAAAGUCUGCUUUUAUCAACAACACCCUGUCCCAGCUCUUAUAGAAUCAUCAGGGUUUUACAGAAUAACCUAAAAGUCCUCCACAAGGGAGGAAUUAUUUCUAAAGAAAGUGUCAGACUGAGUAUAAAGGGCUGAAUGUGGUUUUUCAUUUGCUAACAGCCCGUCUUCAGGUGUCACCGACUGUCCGCAGUAAUCCUGCUCAUAACAGAAAGCACUGCAUUCAAUUUCCCAUCCAGAGCGGCUCUGCAGCACAGAAACUCAAUAACAGAUGACAGUGUCCAGUUUCCAGUAGUGUGGAAAAUGAAGGCUGCCUGUGGAAGUGAGAAAAAUCCUCUGGCUGUCCCCUGAGCACACUGAGCUGGGCGGGGAGGGCAGUGUCACUGUGGCGCCUGAUAGCCGCCGCCUCUGCAUUUGCAUAGCGACAGGUUCCUGUGUGGGUCUGCCUCUGUGUCUGUCUCCUCUGUGUCUGUCAGUCUGCGCCUGCCUUCUGGGACGGCAGGUCGAAGCCUCCCCCACAGCUGGACAUGAGAAGAUGGAGCUGACAGACGUGACCCCGCUGUUCCAGGAGGGAGGGAUGUUUUUUCUUUUUUCUUCAGAUUUCUGAAAUGUCGCAAAGAUGCAUGGUCCUGCCAGCCGCUAUGAUUGAGAGCAGCGACCGUCUCUGCUUUUCUGUGUAAAUGAGCUGAAUUUAUUUCCUAACCGCCUCAACUUCUGUGUGGUUUGAGUGAUGCACGGGCGACUGACCCCCUGCAUAAACUGUCAGAGGAGGAGGGGAGGAGGGCACGGUCAAGGUUAAACGCUGUCCUCCAUCUCAGCUGCCAGAGGUCGUGUUACGUCUGGGUGGUUCAAGUUACCUUUGCCAUGGUGUGAUCAGAAUCAAACUCAGCACAGAGGAGGGUACUAAUGGGUCUUUAUUUUAAGUACAGUGACACCACUCUCUUUUUUUUCUGUCAUUAAGUUAUGGGGGCAUAGAGGCCAAAUAAAAAGAGGCACUAAGAAGUUAUUAAUCACAACUAAGCAUGGUCCUUUCAGAAAAUGUUUAACACCUCUAGGAGACUCAACAUUUCUUCUGUGAAGAUGUUACACCUCAUUCACAACCAUUCUUGAGGAGAAAUUUUCUCUUACAACUUUCAGAAAUAGAUAAAUAAAUUGUCCCAUUCAUAUAUCUUUUGCUUCUGCUGGUCUGAGUAUUUCUGAUUGAAUGUUGUUUCCAGCUUUGGUCACAUGAGCACAGAGCCGGCCCAAGGCAUAAGCGAAGUAAGCGCCGCGGCCAGUAGGGAGCCCCAAGAGCAAUAUAAAAUAUAUAUGUUUUUGAAUUUUUUUUUUUUUUUUUGCAUGUACGAGUGAUGCUUGCUAUAUGAUCAAAUAUAAAUUAUUGCAAGAAUAAAAUAAAAUAAAAUAAAGUAAAAACAUUUUAGUGCAGCUGCUAAUGUAGGCCAAUGUUUCUUAUUGCCGAUGUGUCAAAUCUCCGCUAUCGUUAUGUGCCUUCUGCUGUGCAAUAUGCACUGAGCAUCCAAAGCACAGGUAGUUGUGGGCAAAACAAUUGCGAAAAAUGACAUAUC